rnacentral:lncRNA from 1 species
CCAUUUAUUUUUUUGUGACUACAUGCCAGGCACCACGUAGGGACUUUACACGUGUGUGUUGAUUUGUUCUCAAAACAACUCUGUGAGGUGAAGGCAUCGUUAGCCCCAUGUUACAGUUAUGAAAAUUCCUGCUCAGAGAGAAUAAGGAAGUCACCCAAAGCCACACAGAAAAAAAGGAGCAGAGGAGGAUUUAAACCCCAGCAUCUGACCCCUAAGCCUUGGUCUUCCUACUGUUCUGAACUUCCAGAGUAAGAAACUAUCAGUGUGUAGACACAGGCUCAGCUCUGGGCCCAGGAGGAGGCCAGAGAAGGUGAGAGUAACAGUAACAGCAACGCCCACGGCGCACACUCUGCCAAAGGUUGUUUGCAAAGUUCACCAGGCUCGUCCAGGUCUCACCGCAGCCCUCUGGGGAAGGUACGGUGCCCACUUCACAAACGGAGAAACCUGGGAACAAGCCAUGUACCCUCAAAGCCCCAACAGCACUUUCUGCGGUGCGUUCCCACAUGACAGAGCAUCCGGAUGGUUCUCUGUCCCGCCUAGCACUUUACAGUUUUCAAAUCACUCUGUAUGCUUUAUUUCAUUUUUAUUAUCAUCCUUGUUUCAGGUACUGAGAAAUUGAGAACUUAAGCUGUUUCCCCAAAGCCACGGUCCUUGGCAGACACAGGAUUUGAGCCCAGGUGUUUUUAUACCUAGCCCAGGAUUCCUUAUUCCGGACCAGCCUGCGCCCCUGAAACGCAGCUGUAAGGAACAAUGCGAUCCUCAGCUUUUCCAGCUGAUGUUAACCUAUACCCUUCUGUACUGAAGGAAAGAAUGGAAGCUUGAUUUUGAAGCAAAAUCCACAUAUUUCCUAUUUCAGGGCCCAGGUGUAGGACAAAAUGGUUUCAGUUUUCUUCAAGGUGGCAGCAACCUUCCUUAAAGUCAGACUCGGUGGCAAAGGGCUUGCCUUCCUGGCCCCUCCCUGACCCAACGAGAACGAAGACUGCUACUUUUCUAAACUCACACCCGUAUCAGUACUAAGUCUAGAACUUACACAUUAUCAGAAGUAAAGGAAAACAGAAUCUAUGUCAAUACAGAUAACAGCCACCAUUCCCUGAGCACUUCCUACCAGCUACGAAAUCCCACGACUUCCCUCAGCCAGUUCUUACAACGCGAAGAGGCACUGUAGUUUUUUUUUUAUCUUGAAGGAGAAAAUCGAGUUUCCCAGAGGUUAAGUAUCUUUCAUAGUCGCUCAGCUGGUGGUGGCGAUUUAAACCCAGCUCUGUCUCAACAGCUGCUCCGUGGAGUCCCUGAAGUCCAGCACCUUGCAGGCAGAGAUGGACCCAGACCGAGCGUCCUAAACCCUUCAGGCCCCUCCUGCGUCGGCAGUCGGGUGGGAUACUCAGCAGACACGUGAAAACGUGGCAUGUGGUGGAAGACAGAAAGCAGCAAAGGAGCGAGGGCUGGUCGUUCCUACUCCCCUCUCCCUCUAGUGAUCUCUCGGCUAACAGACAUCCUUGCUCCUUUACGGCGGCUGCCACUGUCUGAAAGCAUCUCGCUUGUUCGCUCAUAAUUUGUCUGUUGUUCCUCCUGGAACAUAAGCUGCGCGGGAGCAGGGGGAGCCUGGCCGGCAGCAUCCUCAGUCCCUGCACGAUGCCUGGCACUCAGGUGGCACCAAAAGGAUGAGGAUGCCCCUGCUGAAAACAAAGGGGGACUACUCCCUUUAUCUGGUAGAUGCCUUAAUUUUAAAAAAAGCUUCAGAAUCACCAUUUCUAAAAGGCAAAGAAUGCCCUGAUUUGCCAAGAUUUUCGGAGAGCCGUGGUUAUGAGCUGUGCCAGCCAUUGCUCCUUAGACUUGUCUCUGAUUUUUGUCUCGGUAACCCUGCUAGGGAGCCUGACAACUCCCCUGCCUCACUCCCCACUCUCUUCUCCCGUCCACCUCCAGUGAAUACACAGCCUUCUCCGUCGACCAGCUGCACAUCCGGGCUUGUAAACCAAGGCCCAGGUGGCUCUUCACUGAUGGCUCAUUCGUUAUCUGUAUGCUGAGCCAGUGCCUUUUCUGAGCAGAUUUUUUUGCAGCUAAAUUGAUUUAAAAAAAAAAUGCAUUCUACAGAAAAAGCACUGCCUUUUGCUCUCUGUUCAUCUCUUCCUUAUUUCUUUGCUUCCCAUCAAGUAUAUCCUGCAAAUCUCCCUUUAAAAAUCUGUCUACUGAGUAUUUCAAAUGCAAACUGUUGAGAUUUUUUGUUUGUCACUUUUUGAGCCACCACAACGCCAACAGGCUGCUCUAAAGAACACCGCCAUCCUGCCACCGCCCCAUGUUCCUCUCAAUGUUUGGCUAUUUUUACAACAUAUAUCCAGUUUGAAAGAUAAUACUGAUACCUUGUUUUAUACGAACAUUUAUACACCAGGACCCUGGCAAGGGACUGACUUCAUUGGGAUAUUUUAUGGCUUAAUACAUCUGAAUGAUUUAUACCUCGUUUUGUCUAAGCAUUUAUGCUAAUAAAUUUAACAGAUUCCCCAGCACUGCCUGGUCCUUCACUUUCUUCAGGGGUCAAAGUGAGAGGAAAAUAAAGCAGCGUGUUACUAAAGAAAGAAGGAAGAAAUUGGUCCAACCGAUUUAGAACACAAAUAAAGUUACAACACAAAUAAAAUCUCUGAUUACAGUUAAGCUGGAGAAACAGUCAAAAGAAGAAAAGUUCCUAGAUCCAGAUAAAUUUCUGUAAUUAAGCUGUUUCUCAAAGGCGAAAUCACACAAACAACAGAAUAUUCAGCAAUCUAAUUUACUGAGGAAUCUUUUGGUCCUACAUAAUUAAAUCCAACACUGAGGAAAAACUGACAACUAUUAAACUGAGUGCAGUCAGGAGAGGAAAAAGAGAUAAGAUAAGAUCCAGUCUAUAAAAUAUAUUCCAUUAUCUUUUACAGGUUAAAAAAACACAGAAGAAAUACUUGGAAAGAAUUCUCUAAGAUAGAUUUUAAGAUUGUGUGGGGAUUUUUUUUUACAGGUGCAGAAUAAGUUGAGUGUUCUUUCUCUUGCUUUUCUGCUUUUCUCCUUUUUCCCCUGUUGUCUGCAGAGUUGAAUCUGGGGUCAGGAGUUCUAAUUGUAACCUCAGACUGGAAUUCCAGAUGGUGCGCCCGGGACUGGAAGCAGCUCUCAGUUCAUCAAUUUCAUGGGCCGAGUAUCUGCUCCGGCCACGGCCCGGCCUCCAUCCCCACUGUGGCAUUAAUGCAGAACAAAUUGAGACAUAUCCUCUAUAUAAUUAGUUCCAGAAUUUAAAAAGAUUUACGGUAUCGUAAUAGAGGCGGCGCUGCAGCGUCCUUUCACCGGGGACUCUGUGGGAGCUCGGGGACCAUCUCGCGGGGCGUCAGGACAGACGGUGGCCCCGGCGGUUCGAGGCACCGAGCGGGGAACCGAAGAAUUUUCACGGCGCACCCGGCAGUGUGCGCGCCCCCUGCGCCCCCAAAGCGGCUCGGAGAAUUGGGUUUGAACUGGAGAUGGGGGAUUGGUCAAAACAUCGACCUAAUUUUCAAAUGAACAGAGGGGGCCGGGGUGGAGGGUGGACUAUAACAAAAGUUCCUCCCUUCCUUUUUUUCAGUUUAAAGAAAUGAAGCUGCGAUCUCCCGUGCCCAAGCGCCUGCCCCGCGACCAGGGCGGGCAGACUCCGGCGCUGGGCCUGCUGCCGGUCUGCGCCGCCGAGCCCCCCUCUGGCCGUCCUCCGGCCGUCCCGGCCCCGGCCCCGGCCCUGACUGCUCCGCGCUUCACUCAGUUGGGGCGGCCGCGGGGCGACGCCCGGAGCGCAGCCUGAGCGCGCUGGGCCCUGGGGCCACGGCUGCAGCGCCCGCGCCGCGCUCGGGCAGGGGCAGUUGACAGCGCCGGGGUCAAGCGGGGGUUCAGAGGUCCCCACUGCCCGCUCCCACUCAGGCGCGAUAUUUUGAUCCUGUAAUAAUUAAGCACCGUUAGGCCAGGAUGAGCUUUACCGACGUUCCAAAGCCACCCGGGCUCCCAGAGUCCCGCUCGCCCUCCUUUUUCCUUUCCCCCUCAUUCCUUUAGCCUUUAGGGCCUUGGGAUGGUGGUAAAGCCCGAGCUGGAUGUCGAGGGACCUGGGUUUCGGCUCGGCUUUGCCACUAACUUGCUACCUGUGUUUGAACAACAAUAGAAACAAAAGUGGUAACGUCUGUUGAGCGCAUAGGCCAACACUAGCCUCCUGCCCAAUCCCCGAGACCUCAUGAGCUCAUUUCCCAUUAUUCCGUUUGACCAAAAGGGAAACAGGUUUGGAGAGGCUACGGAACUCGUCUAGGGUCACACAGCUGCUGGUCACCCGGUGGAACGGAUUCCAUUCUCUGGCCACCAGUCCUUGCUCUUAACCCCUGCGCUCCACAGCUACUUUUUCUCCCGUCUGUGCCUCAGUUUCCGUCUCUGUAGAAUGAGGAGUUGAAAGUCCAGCUCUGCCAAUCAGUGAUGCAGACCGACCCUCUGCGCCGCACGUCUCAGGGCUGAUGGGGUGGUAAAGUGGGUGAAAGAAGGGGCCGGCCGGGUCUCCGCAGCCUUCGUUCCCGGGACCCCGGGUGGGCCUCGACCACAGCGGGUGCAGGAGAGCGCCGACCUGCGGGGGCGGGAGGAGGGUGCAGCCCGUGCCCAGCUCGGGCACCGAGGCCGGUUUGGCAGGGGUACCUGCCUGGGUCACCGAAGAGCGAGCGGGUUACUCGGGGGAGGAGAGGCGGGAGCGGGGGGGCCCUGCAACCGCAGGAGUCUGCGCCCCCCCCGCGCUGGCCCAGGUCCGCCUGGACCCCUGGCAAGGGAUGGGUGGGCGUGAGGCCUCCGGCUGCGGCUGCGGGCGGCUCGGGGCGCCGCGUUCACUGCGCGGUCCGCCGGCGGCAGGGAGCUCCCCCCACCGCAGCGGACUGACUGCGAGUCCGGGCGGGAGAGGGGGUGCCGGGGCCAAAACGAGGUCGCACCGCGGCUCUUCCCUUCCUCGAGUAUUGUCAGGCAACACGUGGCGGAGGGGAGACGAGUCCUAAAUUUACUCGGCUCCCCUUCCCCUCACCCUACUCAGCUCCCCCCCCCCAACCCCCGGGCAAAAAUUCUUUUUAACGUAAAGACCGAGAGUUAGGCGCCUUUGCCCUAUCUGGGAUUCAAAAACACAAAAGCUCCCAUUCAAGUCACCUCCUCCAAAUACCAGCCCAAAAGCUUGCCAAGGAGGAUAAAACAGAAACAAUCUCCACCUUUCGUUUGGAAAUGGAAGUCCCUGGCUUUUCAUAAAGGGCGGUCCUUCCCGCGCGGGCUCUUGAGACCCGUGCCGCCAGGAGUCCCGAGUGCGGGUCCCGAGCCUGCGCGCGCUUCGGGUCCGCGGCCGGAACCGACGGCUACUUCGUUUACUCCGUGCAAAUUAAAACCAAAACGUCAGAAAUGGAGAGUAAGUCAAGGCUUUCACGACGCGCGGUUCCUCUACAGCUGCAACUGCCCUGAUGCUGCUUCACGUGGGCUUGGCUGGGAGCCGGGGGCCCCUCCAGGGCCGCUUUGGUGAGACGCCCACGGCCACCGGCCGCUCCCCGCCCCGCGCUCCUGGCCGUCCCAGGCUGCGCCGUCGCCGCUGCCUCCCGGCUCUCCCCGGGGCGUUUCCGCGCGCCCCUGAAACGCACUCCAAUCCGGUUCUCGGCGUUUCUCCUUGCCUGGGGUCUCCUCCAUAGAUGCCGACUACUUUGGAAGAACCAAAAAACAAAACCAGACCUCAAACACCUGCUCUGGGGCGCGGGGCUCGCAGAGUGAGUAGGUGGAGGAGGAGUCGGCUUUGGUGAUGCCAGGCGCCCGGAGCGCCCAAGGUGCGAACACUGCCUUGGACCGUGGGCCGCUGGAGGCUCUCCUCCUCGGUCAGCCUAACUGGCUCGGCCUCUUGAGCAGUCUGCAUCCCGAGUGGGACUCCCGACCGCGAACAGAGGCAGAGCUCGGCGGGAGCGGCUCCAAGAGCCGACGUCUCCCCGCGGGCUUCCUAUUCAAACCCUCCCCACGUCCCACCCCCACAGUGGGCACCGGGUUCUCUGGCCGGGAUGUGUGCAGGCGCUGAGCGUUCCCUAAGGGUUUAAUGCCCUCCCAAACCAGCUGCUGUUUUCCCAGCUUCACCGCAGAAGGUCAGGUACUCACUAGAAGGGGCGAUGGUGCCGCUGACAUCGAUUUUAGUACGGGGCCACCGCCCUCCUCUGGGCGCAGACCUACCAAGUGACCAACUACCAGACGGCCGAAUACGCCCUGGUUAUCACAACUGAAUGCAGCCCCUCCAGGUGACCCACGAUGGCCUGGAGUCUGACCUCCGGAACCCAAAAGGGGUCACCCCCUCCCCAGUGACCCCGGGAUUAUGGCUACCACUCCAGCCCGACAGACUCGCGGGCGCCGAGCGAGGGAAUC